UGAUCAGAUCGAUCGAUUGAUUGAUUGAUUUUGAUUCAAAAUUUCAGUUCUCUCUCUCUAGCUCUGUCUAUCUUGCGAGAUCUCUUUCUUCCUACUUCACCUGUCUUCUCGAGCUGUCUACUUUCCUUUCGUGAACUCGGUAAACAAACUUUGGUGUGUAGGUUUGGCUUCAAGAUGAGUACAUCAAGGAACUUUCAUAAAGACGUCAUGAGUAGACUUCAGGCAGUGGACCCCAUGAUGUCUGAGGACAUGAUUGGUCUGGAAGAGACUGAAGCCGUCGAUGCACAGGCCUCUAACUUGCAGCUCGGAGAUGUUUCCAACGAACGUGCCGUGCACCUUGCCUUUCCAAACUCUUUCGGCGAUUUGUGCGAUGACAGUGACUUGUGAUAGCCAUCUACAUGCAGCCGUGCGCGUUGCUUAUGGCGAUGGAUACUCGCAGCUGCUCGCCGGAGUAUCACUAGUAUCGCUUGCAUCCGCAUGGCGUAGAAUGGGGUAACUAAGUCUUUGUAUUGAGGCUGGUUUGAGGCUGGUAGCAUGUACCCAGUCACGUGACAUUACGUACACGCCGAUGGUCAUCCGAACCCACACCUGCGUGUUCUUGCACACAUACAAGGCAGGACCUCAGACAUUUUGUGUUCUUGAAGUAGUCUACAUACCAGUAUGUGCUUUUUUAUUUUGUAGCAGUGGAUGGCUCAUAUGUGCCUCCCAGUGUUGUUGCAAUUAUUGUAUCUGUGUAUUACUUUUUCGUACUGUAUAUCAUUCAUUCUCCAUUUCCUCCUGUUGUUGGUCGCCUGAUGCAAGCACAUUACACCUCUGGUCACCGUCCAGUGUAAUUUAGUUUCACUCCUUGAUAAUAGCAGGAUUCAGUGGAGCUACUGUACAAUCAAACAAUAGGAGGACAGAAAGUGUUUUACUCCGAGUUUCACACAGAGUUUCACACACUAAGCGAUCAUCAGAAAACUGUACAAUCGUGUAGAUAGUCCUAUCGGUAAUAUUAAAUUUUUACAAUGUUCCCUUGGCUCGCGAUGACCAUCGGAGUUCUUAGCAAAAUUUGUGUUGAUUUAAAAAAAUUCUCUUUGUACAAAACACAUUCUCUUUUUUCUCUUUUUCAGAUCCCGUGCCAGUCUUUUUUUUUGUCAUUAGAGCACAACUGUGCGCACGACGUGCACAUUGCACGAUAAUUUCUGUAGCAGAUCAGCUCGUAUUCAUAGUAUUCCACCGACGCUAUA